AUGAUAUGUUGGAAACCAUGCCAAUUUCUUGAUCCUAGCAAGUCCUUUGGACUGGCAUUGAAGUGGAAAUGUGGAAUACACAGACAAAAAAAAGGAAAAGAAGUGGACCACGCAAGCUCACACAGGGUAACCGGCCCCAUUAUUUGGUCAAGGAUGACGGGGGAAAGUAUCCUAUACUCCAAUGGAUUGGGUGCUCCGGCUGCACCGUACGCAGCUCAUCCAUCAGAUACAGAAUACAAGGUUAGGAUGAAACCCGAACGCCCCGCUCUUAGAAUUUUGCCAAAAGGCGCCCCACAUAAGCACAAAAUAGCAGUAAUGCCCCCGUUACUUAGGUGUGCCACAGUUUGGAACAGAAAGAACAAAAAGCAUCAGGGGCCUGGCGGCGGAUCUCGCCGUGGGCUGCGCUGCCACACCGGUGGAACAAGCUCGCUGCAGUACGGACGUACUCUGCUCCGACGUCCAGCGGGAAACUCGCCCCACCUCUGCCCCGCCAUUAUCCACCUCGACGCAACCCCCUCCACAGCCACACACUCCUGCCUAGAUCCGCCAUCUACCGACGCCGGAGAAGAGAACUCCGAGCCUUCAGCAUGGAAGGAUGGAGUCAAUGGCAAGCAUUGCUUCAAGUGUCGGAUCAUCUACAAUGAAUGGGACCUGAAGAUGAUGCCAACAACUUUUCCAUGA
rnacentral:rRNA from 1 species